rnacentral:lncRNA from 1 species
UUGUAUAUAUCAUAUGCAGGCUAUCAUCAAGACAACAAGAUUAAGGAAUAGUGUCAACAUGUUUAAUCAUGAGAAUAAAUUGUAUAAUUAUUAUCUCACCUAUGUUAUGGUGGCGUUUCUAAAAGUUUGUAGAAUUAUUGUUAUGUUUAAAUUGGGUUGUAAGACUUUGAUAUUAUGAUAUCAAGUUUGGGGUUAAUAACAUGGUCUUGACUUAUUUUGUUGGGUAUAGAAUAAUUGUAAGGCUCUAAGAAGCCGAAAUAUUUUAUUUUAAAUUAUGAUGUCGUGUUAUUAUUAGUGGUGUGGAUGUGAUAUUUUAUAAAAUAUCAAAUCUAUUUAUUUUACGAAAACAAUUAUUAUUAGUUUUAAAUGUCUUUUAUUUGGUUUUUUCUACUCUCAAUUUAAAAACUUAAAUAUUUUUUAGAUAAUUUCUAUAAGGGAGUUGCUAACUUACACCCACCUAAAAAUACUAAGGUGCAAGUUAGCAAGUUACGCCCACCUAAAAUUAUUAAGGUGCAAGUUAGCAACCUACAUCCACUUGAUUAUUUACACUCAUUUUGAUAAAUUUUAACAAAUAUUUUACACCAACCUCACUAACUUACACCCACUUUCAUAAUUCCAAAUAAUGUUUUUGUCUUGAUUUUUUUUAAUGUUUUUAAAGCAUAUAGAUUUAUAUGUAUUUUGUUUCCUUGAAACUGUUUUUUUUUUACUAUUCAAUCUGCUGAUCCUUUUUCAUGCAUAAAAAUAUUUUUUUCCUAUUAAAUCUAUUGACCUCCUUCUUUUUCUUAUUAAAAUGAACAAUUUUUCUAAAGGCAAUUAUGUUUUUUUUUUUUAAUGAAAAGGCAAUCAGGCUUGUUCUCUUAAGCAAAUCUUUUGUUUAAAAAAAAAAGAAGUUGUUCUUAAUGUUAUAAUUGUAUGAGGGAAGCGAGUAGAUCUGUUCUUAUAAACAAAAAUGAACAAUAUUGUUAAAUUGACACAACUGCCCUUUAACUUCAAAUGACUUAUAAUAAUGGAGAUUGGUUGUUUUGUAAAAAAUAAGUUGGUGUAGCUUGCUAACUUGCACCUUAGUGUUUUUAGGUGGGUGUAAGUUAGCAACCCCCUUUCUAUAAUACUUAUUUUAUAAUUUAGGAUUUUAUGCAUUAUAUAUAAUAUAUGUUGGAAGAUUAUCAUGUUUAGUUACUUGGCCUAGCGGUAAAUGCUUCAUUACCCUGCAAUGCGUCUUGGGUUCAACACCCUCUACUCCCGUUGGUAAAAUGGACACUUCUAAACCAUUUUGUUGUUGCAUUUAUUUUGUCACAAGUUAGCUUUAUAAGUUGUUUGGGCUCCAGUGGCAAGGAGCUCCUUCAAGGACGUACCCAGGGAAUAUCCAGUUCGAUUUCCAGGGGGAACAACGCUUGGCCAGUGUGCAUGCCUCUACACACGAGCCGGAUUAGUCGUCCAUCUUUGGUGGGUCAGAAACCUGUGCAAAAGCCAAAUAUAUAUAUAUAUAUAUAUAUAUAUAUAUACUUUCUUCAAAGUUUUGUCUCACCUGUAUCGAAAGUCUGGGUCUGCCUCUGGGUAGUGCAUACACUAUUUUGUUUAAUAUUUAACUGUGUGCAUAACGACUCCCAAUAUUUUUGUGGAAAACUUAUUGUUUCGUUUCCCCAUUCAGAAACUUUGAUUGCGUGGAAAUAUUGAGUUAGGAAAGAUCGCUUCAACUCAUCCUACAUUCAUAUGGCAUUAGGAGGAGGCAUAGGAAAAAUCUAAAACCAAGCUCCAAGGGAAAAGGGGAAAAGUCUAGCCUCAAGUAAUCAUUAGUCACUCCAUCUAUUUUUAUAGUAUCACAACAUUUCGAGAAAAAUUUAUAGAUGAAAAUUUUGAUCAUCCAUUUGAAAACCAGAGAAUAGACAUUCUUUUUGCAAAAAUAUCCUUAAAUUAUGUUUUAUUUAAAAAUGUGCCACCAUAAUAAAAUAAAGGUUAAACUGCACUUUUCGAUCCCUAAGUUUUAAAAUGUUGCGAUUUUGGCCUCUAUUAAAAAAAAUUACAAAUUAGAAAUGUUGAAUUUUGAAAUGUUGAAUGUAAAUAGAAAUGUUGACUGUAAAUAGAAAUAGAAAUGUUGACUGUAAAUAAAAAUCACAAAUUACACGAACCAGGAGAAAUGUUGAAUUUUGAAAAUAAAUGAUCAAAUAAAUUCAAAACUAUUAUGAAUCGAUUCAUUUUUCAUUAGGAUGACGAUAAAUCAAUUAAUUCGUUUUUGAACUUGUGAAUCUAUUAACUAAAGGAGUGAAUUAAUUAAUACAACAUUUUUUCGCUACUUUUCAACUUUCAUUUUUUCUGAAAUCCUCCAAUGAUAAAUACAUGUUCCCACAAAUUUUCCAUUCAUUGAAAACACAUUCUCUAUACACUAUCUCAUACUAAAACACUCUCAUUAAAAGAAAAAGGCUAAACUGAAUAUUUGGCCCCUUAAUUUAUUUGUUGUUUUCAUAUUGAUCACAUAACUAAUUAACGUUACAUUUUUGUCCCUCAAGUUAGUCUCUGCCAAUGGUUGUCAUUUCGGAAAAAAAAUCAAACGGUUAAUAUUAAACAAAUUAAUGAGGUCUUUGACAGAGGAUAACUUGGUUUCCACUAAUACAAACAUUUUUGUGAUAAUAUUGGUUUCCCUCUCUCUAUUAUGAAAUAAUAAUAAUAAUAAUAAUAAUAAUAAUAAUGAAAAGUUGGUAAACGACAAUGAACUCUAAUUACAAGUAAAAUAUUUUUUUGAGAUUUACUCUAUGAGCUAAAGGGGCAAAUAUGAUUCAUCAAUGUACUUUAGGGACAUUUAAAAAUUAUUCUAACUUUAAAGGAUUUCUUGCAACAACAUAAUUAAAAUAAACUAUUUAAUUGAUGUAAACAUAACAAGAGGAUUUUUACUAUAUUUGUAAAGAAAAGAGGUUUUUUUACUAUAUAUAGUGAUCAAACCAAUUUCUAUUUGUUACAUGCAAAGGUGAAAAAAUGGUUGAAACUCUCAGGUUGUUUUAUAUUAUGAUUCUCUUUGUUUCCCUAUAUCUUGUUGUAGUUGAUGGAGUAAGUAAGUUAGCGCAAAGUUGUAGUGAGGACUUUGAGUGUUAUAUAAAAAAUCCGCAUGCUCCUUUUGGACAACUGAGGUGUUUUGAAGGUUAUUGCCAACGUUUGGACAAGCCUACAUAGUUAAGGUUAUUUUUUUCUCUAUUAUGUAUAUGAUUUUCAUUUAGUUUCUCUUCAUAAUGUUGUUUCUCUUACAUUUGUAUAUAUUUCUCUAACCUUGCAAUUUAAUUAAUAGCCUAUAAAAGAUAAGCAUGUUAAAUAUAUUAUUAAAUUUUUAUCUUUGUUUUCUUGGGAAUGAAGUAGAGAUGUUUUAUGGAUAAUAUGACCUAGGUUCUUGAUAUAUAAUCUAAUAAAAUUCAAAUUGAUAUAAUGACAAGUGAGAAAAGUAAAUUGUUGAAUUUUAUAUUUAAAGGUGUUAUCUUGAGGAUAUUUUGAUAAAUUUACCAACUAAUCACCUAAUAAUACCGUCAUUGUGAGAAUGUGAGAUGCCCUAACAUCCAAAGUUGAAACCUAAGUAAAUAACCUAUAUGUCAGUUGUAUUUGGCCGUUGACAAAGUUAAAAUUAAUGAUGAUUUCAUUUUAUAGAGCAUACGAAAAAUAAAAGAGGAAAUACAAACAUAUUGUACUAUUUGACCAGAUAAAGAAAGAUAAAAUAUGUCAUGCUAAAUGUAAAUUAACGAAAGAAACAACUCAAAAAUCAAUUAAUUGAAGAUCUGAUAUGUGAUAUUUUGUAGCAUUUGUAUAUUAAUUGAUCAUCAUGUAUAUAGUUGAGCUUUGAUCCUAACAUGAGUAAUAUAGUCAUUAUUAGUAUUAUUAUUAUUAUUAUCAUAAUUUAUUUAGUUUGUUUUUGUAACAUUUCUAUACUAAUUCCCAUAAAAAAAAAAUCUAUAAAUCAUAAUGUAUUUAGAGUAGAUUUUCUUCACAUACAAACUAAAAAGUUUUAAAGUCUUUAUCAUUUUCAUUUAGGCACAAUACCAUUGUUUUUGAAAUAUACCAAUUUAUAAGUUUGUACAUGUUGCAUAUGUAGUUUAGAGAAUUCAUUAGACAUAUUAAUUUUUUAAAAGAAAUUAAUGUAAAAUUAAUCUUAAUUGUAGGCAAGAAACCUCAUCAUUUUAGAUGUGUAAAAGUACAUAUGUCCCAAACUUUAAAAAAAAAAAUAUGGUCGCUUCAGCGAUAUACCUACUUACACAGAUAAGAAUGAUAAAUUCAACACUUUAAAUUGUUGAUAUAUAUAAGGUAUAUAAUGAUAACAUAUAGAGGUUAGGUUGAGAGAAUAUAAGACCUACUAAGAAAUCCCAAAUAAUUUUCAAUAGAAUCCUUAUGUAGCUCACGUGACGUCCUGGAAUCCCUAAUUAAAAGUGAGAACGCGAUUUGGUCAUUAAAGUGACUACGGAAAGAUGGAAUGAAUUUGGAAACAACAAAUUUAUAUAUUAUAUUUAACUUAACAAUACCUUUCCAAAAAAAAAAUAUCAUUGUUAGGCUCCAAGAUCUAAACCCUAUCUCAUAUCGAGAUGUCAGGAGCACCUCGAUCAUAAUUAUAUUUAUGUGGAUAGGAGCAUUUGGGUAAAACCAAAAAAAUAUAGAGAGGCAUAAAGGUGAGAAAAACACAAAAAAGGUAGGUUGAAGUGUGUUGAAUUUUUAUGAAAAAUAUUUUCUAAAUUAAAAACAAAUCAACAUGAUCAGAGUUUAUAGUAAAAAUUGAUGUUUGUUUACAUUUUUGAGUCAAAUAGUGGUAAACUAAAAUAAGCACAAAGUAAUUCUAAACACUUAAAAAAUUCUAGGAUGACAGUUUGUAAGAAUUUUUUUAAGUGUUUUUGCACUAGAAAUUUUGUCAGAGUUUUGGCACAAUUGAAAGCACUUAAUUGUUUCUCUUUCUUCAAACGCUCAAUGUAAUUUUAUAAGAGAUUUGAAUAGAGCCAUUGUUUGAAGAUAUUUCCAGCACAUCAAGAGCUAUCUUCAUAAUUAAAAUCUUUUCCUCUGAGGGAUAAUUUCGUUGAACACUACUUUAGAAUUUCUUUGCUUCUUUAAGAAUGAUAUGUUGCAUCCACUUUGUCUUAUAAGAGCUUUAUCCGCUUCUACAACGUGUCUUCAUUUAACUCAACAUGACAAAACAUACUACUAAACAUGGAUAAUGACAUUUCUUCAAAAUAAGACAAGACUGGUCAGCUGUUCUUCAGAGCGCUGAGCGUUGACUUUAUCCUUCAGAUUUUCGUCUUCAUACCAAAGUUUGUCUUACUAACUUGAUCCAUAUUUGAUCAGAGCUUUGGAUUUUUAUUUACCAACUUCAAAUCAGAUCUUUGUCAUCAAAACUUUAUCUUGGGUACCAAAUAUGUCUACCUUGUAGAACCAAGAUGGAAUUAUUUUCUUCAGAAUUUAGUGUUUUCAGAGUCAAAAUAUUGACUUCAGAGUCAGAAUGUAAUUCUAUGUUCCUGCAUACUACAACAAAAUUUAGGGUAUCCAAUUGUUCUUUUAUACAUUGUCAGCAUCAAAACCUUAGAGACAUUAUUCUAAAACUUAUUUUGGUUCAACAAGGCAGAGAGACAUUGUGAGAAUUUAUAAAAAGAGAGAGAAAAACUAAUUGAAUGUUGAAUGGCUAUUGGGAUUUAUUACCUCGUGAUGUUAUGGUGUAUCGAUAAAUCUUGGUAAUGCAGACUAGUCUCUUAAUAAAAUCAUAGUAGUGAAAGUGUUUUGCACUAAAAUUCAUUGAGAGGGAUGUUAUUCUUAUAUGAUAGUCGAUUUCCUCCUAUGCUACUUUCUUGAGCUUGAGUUAUUUGUAAGACAUGUAUAAGGAGUAUAGGUGCAUGAAUAUUGCAUUUGAUGUAUAUAUCUUGUCAUAUCUUGUAUAGUUAUAUGUCCACCUUAGAUGUUUUUGUGUUUUGUAUGUAUCUUUUUAUGUUUGUUUCUAAUUGAGUGACUUGGAACUUAUAUCACCCCAAUGUUUUCUAACUAUUUAUCUUGUAUAAAUUAUAUGCAGGCUAUAAUCAAGAUAAGAUUGAGGAAUAAUAUCGAAGUGUUUAUUCAUGAGAAUAAAUUGGAUAAUUAUUAUCUCACAUAUGUUAUGGUGUUCCUGAAAGUUUAGAAUUAUUGUUUAUGAUUAAAGUGGGUUAUAAGACUUUGAUAUUAUGAUAUCAAGUUUGGGGUUAAUAAUAUGGUUUUGACUUAUUUUGUUGGAUAUAGAACAAAUAUUAAAUGUGAUUUUAUUAUAAGAAUAAUCGUAAGGUUUUAAGAAAUUGAUAUAUUUUAUUUUAAAUUAUGAUGUUCUGUUAUUAUUAGUGGUGUAGAUGUGAUAUCUUAUACAGUAUAAAAAUUUAUUUAUUUUACG